rnacentral:tRNA from 1 species
UAGAAAGUAGUAUAAUUGGUAUAACAGAGAACUUUGAUUUCUCCAAUACAAGUUCAACCCUUAUCUUUCUAA